ACAGACAAAAUAAAGGCUCUAUAGGAAGGGGACAGAACAUUAUAGGAGAUAAAAUGGGAGAUGGGAUUUUAGUGCAUGUUCUAACUCCUUUUCUAAGAGCAAUGGGAAUAUUAAGGUCGUUGUCAGAAGGGUUGGAAUCAAGAUUAGGAUCAGAAUCAACAGGGAUUAAAGAAGACUCACCAAGUUCUUGUUCGGCUGUAUUUUCAGGGCCUGAAAUUGGCGAGGACGGUUGAUCAGAGGUCUCAUGCUCCAUGGUUGUAUCUGUUAUAGUCCGUCGUGUGUAGGUUUUCAAAUCAGGUCUAUCCAAUCUUCCUAGAGGUUUGGGUGGUUGUUCUCUCUUACUAUCUAUGUCUACAGGAAUCUCCCCCUGGAAAGGAAUGCCGUGCAUCACCUAUUCCAUCCGAUAUUUCUCUCCUUGAAGAGGUGAUUGGGAAGAAAAAUAAGACUCAAAUUCCCGAAAGAGGAUGGCAGGAAUGGCACGUUUGUCAUUGGUGAUGAUCAUUUCCCUGCAUCUUUGAUGGACCUACCUUGUGUUGUGGA